UUCAGAGGCGGUAAUUGGCCUGCUCUGCUGCGUCACGGACUGGAGCCUGCUAACUGCCUCCACUGCUACAAGGCGUCAACACACACACCUUCUGCUUUGACACAGCUCUGACAGGCAAACCUGCACUACUAUUUCAUGCUAACUCCGAGUAGUUAUAUGUUGUCAAAGUUAAUAAGCUAUGACGUCUGGCUGUUUGACAGAGAACAAAAAACACAUUGCAAGAGUGAAAAGUAGCUGAAAAAUGCAGAACUAAUUUGAGCACGCUCAUUAAUCGUUCGUCACGACUCCACAUCUCCUCCCAUGAGCCUUCCGCGCAUAAUCUUCGGCUCCAUUACAGGAAUCCACUAAGAAAUGGCAUGGAAGCUCUGACAGUGUGUGCUGUGUUUGCUAACAAGCUUUGCUUUUAGGUGAAGAAAGACUGUGUGGAUAAAUGGAACCGUGUGUGGGAGACUGUACACUGAAGAAAAGAGAAGCAGAGUAAUUGCAAGACCAGCUCCUUUGACAGCAGGCAAAGAUGCUUCAAAUCCAUCAGUUGAAGUUUAGAACUCUUCUCAUCUCACUGAGCCCGGCACGGAGCGCUCUAGUGCACCCAAGGCCUCCUGCUGACGACGUUCCUCUUUCUGAAUGACUUGUGACAUCCUUGAACAACCACAAAAGGCACUGAGGGGAGCAAACGCUGUGUGACACACAAUUGGUCUACUUAAGGAACUUGCUGUGAAAGGGACUGUGACCGACCUACAAUUGGAAGGAUGGCUGAAAUGAAAGCGCUGACGCAGCUGGCAAGGGCAUCUGACAUUAUCGCCGCAUUUAUGUCCCGUCCUUAAUGCCAAUCACUGGAUACCUAAUGAGACGCUUAUCUGAGCCAUUAUGGCAGGACACUUACAAAAUCGAGAAUUUCCUCUUGCCUCUUGUGUCUCGUUUGCUCUUUUUAAUCAAUUGUAACUAUUAGGUCCCUUAGGUUUUGUGGUAAGACCUUGGAAUGAAUCAAAUGCCUAAUUAUAACCUGCACGCUAGUAAAUAAAUACACACGUACGUGUGUCAAAACACACAGAACACAGAGUCUUGCAGUCCAUUAAAAUUCUCACCAUCUCCUGAGAGCACAGUGCUUUCAAAGGUCACAGUGUAAAUGUGUUGACCUUUCCCGGGUGACAGGAGUGUCAGGGGCAAUGGGAAUAAGACCGACUUCUUGUGUGAUUGUGGGCAUGUGGCUGUUUGCAUGCAGAGAACUCCCCUGACUAUUGUACUUUUCCCUGAGCUGCCAUUCUUGAUGGGAACAAGAAACAUGCCACAUGCCAUACAGUAUUUGCGCUUUGUAGUGCGGAAAAUGACCUUCCACAAUGAAGUGUUGUUUUACAUAAAGUAUCCGCUACAGCCGCAGGUGAUGAUGCAAGCCAUCACAAUGCAUGAGAUGAGACACUAAAGUUUAGAGCUGGAUUUACCAAUGGGUGCACAUGCUCACGCAUUAACACCUCCAAGGCUCAGCUUGUACUCAUGAGUAGGAUUUUGUCGGAAAAAUAAUGGACUACAAUUUGUACAAAACGGACAAAAAGCUUUGUUUUAAUGAGUGAGUUUUAAGUAAAUAGAGUAAUACGCCCAAACAUAAACUCUGCUCUUUUGCAUAAUACAUACAGCUUUUGUGAAAAAACAUUUGGAUUUUAUUUUGCCAUGUUUGUCGAGUAUGCUGUGCAAGGUCUGUUUUCUGUCACUUGAAAGUAUUCCCUUUCAAUUCUCAUACAGCAUUUGCUACUAAAUUGUCCUGAGAUUAAAAUGAUCUUUUACGGGUUUUUUUUUCUGGCACCAUCCCAAAUUGUGUAUGCAUGUUGUGAUGCUGUGGCACCAGAUGUUUAAUUUGCAGAUGUGCACGUGUGAACAAUGCAAUCCUCCUCUCAGACUGAAAUAAUCCUCAUGCAUUUUGCAUUUUUUGGACAGAGUACAUUUGCAAAAGCAUUGACGUGAGUGUAUGUGUGUGUGUGUGUGUGUGUGCACGAGUGAGAUAUGUAGAGGAUGAGAUGGAGAGGAUGGGAGAAAAGACGAAAAACAUGAACCCACGCACAAGGCCUCGAGGGGGAAAGAAGUGCAACCAUGUGUUGGGAUGGUGAUUCUACUUAUUCUUCUUAUUCUACACUACUGUCACAGCUUCUACUUUUCAAACGACCGAACCAGGAGUCAGGUUAAAAAAUAUGAAAUGCAAAGUGAAACCUGAGAGGGCACAAGGGAGGGCAGAAGUGAAUAAUAUACAUGAGGGGAAGUGGAGAAUUUACAAGCUGUCAUCAGUGGUCCUGCUGAGCUUGGAACAAGGUGUGACCCUCGACAUUAGACGUCUGUGAUACGUUCCACCUUACUUAGAAAGUUGUGUGAUGAUCUUUCUGUGCUGCACACUUCAAGCACAAUUGAAUGCAAAACCACAUCAUUAUCACCCAAGCAAGUUAAAUAGGGCAUGAUGUCAUAUCUCUGUGUUUGUGAGUGUCUCUCAGUGGUUUGCUUGAUGUGAGACUUGUAUGUAUGACAUGUCAGCCUAUACAGGCUCAGAGGGAGUGGUGAACAGUGAAAGUCCAUAUGUGUGCUUGUGCAAGUAGAUGUAUGAGCAUGUAUCAGAGUUUACUGUAUGUGUGUCGGUGUGUGUAUGUGCCACACACAUCUGGAAAACAGACUAUGCUGAAAGUUCUCCGUGGGGAUGCAUUCCUGUAACACAAACGCUGUCCACUCCCUCCUGGUAAUAGCACAUGUUUCUGGAAGCUUGCAGAGAAGUCAUAUUUUCCAGGUAAAUUUUUGGGGAAAAACAUAUCAGGCUGAAACACUCUUCAAAUCUGCAAUGGGUGUGACUUUCUCCCUCUGACAGACU